ACCUGUGCAGCUCAACGGCAGAGCCGCCGCCGAGGCGAGAUCGGGGUUCGACUCCCCGCACAGGACA
rnacentral:tRNA from 2 species